rnacentral:antisense_RNA from 1 species
UGUAGUCGUCAAGGUUGGAGGGUGGGGUGGUACACUGUUCGCUACCACUAGUUGAGGAUGGAUACG